CAAUGGGGAGCCUGAGAGACCAUUGAUAGUCCAUGUUGGACGACUAGGAGUUGAGAAGAGUUUGGAUUUACUCAAAAGUGUCAUGGACUAGAUACCGGAGGCACAAAUUGCUUUUAUUGGAGAUGGACCAUACAGGGAGGAUCUCGAAAAGCUGUUCUCCGGCAUGCCUGCCGUAUUCACAGGGACGUUAGGAGGUGAAGAGCUCUCUCAAGCAUAUGCGAGCGGAGAUGUUUUCGUCAUGCCUUCAGAAUCAGAGACGCUCGGACACAUAAUGUCAUUUUCAAAAAACAGGUGAAAAGGUUGGUGUUUUUUUUUUUUGAACAAACAUAAAAAGGUUGGUUGGUGAAUUGUUUUUGAUUUAAUUAAAUUUUUGUAAUGAACAAAACCCACUUUUUACGAAUUAUUUUUCGAAUUUUCGUAAACCGUUUUUUCUUAGCAAUGAAAAAAACCACUUUUUUAUUUUAUUUUUUAUUUUAACAUUUAUAGAAACACCCCAAUCUAUUAAGUCAUAUAAAGAUAUUGCACCAGAAAUCCUAUUUCUUUCUAAUUUACCUAAACAUUAAUCUUUGGCAUAUGAAUUUUCAAUAGAUUUCAU